rnacentral:rRNA from 1 species
GACGAACGCUGGCGGCGUGCCUAAUACAUGCAAGUAGAACGCUGAAACUUGGUGCUUGCACCGAGCGGAUGAGUUGCGAACGGGUGAGUAACGCGUAGGUAACCUGCCUGGUAGCGGGGGAUAACUAUUGGAAACGAUAGCUAAUACCGCAUAAGAGUAGAUGUUGCAUGACAUUUGCUUAAAAGGUGCAAUUGCACCACUACCAGAUGGACCUGCGUUGUAUUAGCUAGUUGGUGGGGUAACGGCUCACCAAGGCGACGAUACAUAGCCGACCUGAGAGGGUGAUAGGCCACACUGGGACUGAGACACGGCCCAGACUACUACGGGAGGCAGCAGUAGGGAAUCUUCGGCAAUGGACGGAAGUCUGACCGAGCAACGCCGCGUGAGUGAAGAAGGUUUUCGGAUCGUAAAGCUCUGUUGUAAGAGAAGAACGAGUGUGAGAGUGGAAAGUUCACACUGUGACGGUAUCUUACCAGAAAGGGACGGCUAACUACGUG